rnacentral:rRNA from 1 species
GACGGAGGGUGCAAACGUUGCUCGGAAUCACUGGGCAUAAAGCGCACGUAGGCGGCCAGCUAAGUUGGGUGUGAAAGCCCCCGGCUCAACCGGGGAAUGGCAUCCGAUACUGGCUGGCUCGAGGACGGUAGGGGUGAGUGGAACUCCAGGUGGAGCGGUGAAAUGCGUAGAUAUCUGGAGGAACACCGGUGGCGAAAGCGGCUCACUGGACCGUCUCUGACGCUGAGGUGCGAAAGCCAGGGUAGCGAACGGG